UGUUAUACAGAAGUUCUUCGGGAUGGAAGUAUAAGAACUUAGUGGCGGACGGGUGAGUAACGCGUGGGUAACCUGCCCUUUUGUGGGGAACAACUUCGAGAGAUCGGAGCUAAUACCGCAUAAUAAUAGAGAAUCGCAUGAUUCUUUAAGGAAAGAUGGCCUCUGAAAAUGCUAUCGCAAAAGGAUGGACCCGCGUCUGAUUAGCUAGUUGGAAGGGUAACGGCCUACCAAGGCAACGAUCAGUAGCCGGCCUGAGAGGGUGAACGGCCACAUUGGGACUGAGACACGGCCCAAACUCCUACGGGAGGCAGCAGUGGGGAAUCUUCCGCAAUGGGCGAAAGCCUGACGGAGCAAUGCCGCGUGAGUGAAGAAGGCCUUCGGGUUGUAAAACUCUGUCCUUAUCGAAGAGAGGUGGGUAUGUGAAUAAUGUACCUAUAGGACGGUAGAUAAGGAGGAAGCCCCGGCUAACUACGUGCCAGCAGCCGCGGUAAUACGUAAGGGGCGAGCGUUGUCCGGAAUCACUGGGCGUAAAGGGCGCGUAGGCGGUUUAAUAAGUCAGUGGUGAAAACUGAGGGCUCAACCCUCAGCCUGCCACUGAUACUGUUAGACUUGAGUAUGGAAGAGGAGAAUGGAAUUCCUAGUGUAGCGGUGAAAUGCGUAGAUAUUAGGAGGAACACCAGUGGCGAAGGCGAUUCUCUGGGCCAAGACUGACGCUGAGGCGCGAAAGCGUGGGGAGCAAACAGGAUUAGAUACCCUGGUAGUCCACGCCGUAAACGAUGGAUACUAGGUGUUAGUAGUUUCGAUGCU
rnacentral:rRNA from 1 species